rnacentral:rRNA from 1 species
UACGUAGGGUGCAAGCGUUAAUCGGAAUUACUGGGCGUAAAGCGUGCGCAGGCGGUUCUCCAAGUCCGUUGUGAAAGCCCCGGGCUCAACCUGGGAAUGGCAGUGGAAACUAGGGGACUGGAAUCUGGCAGAGGGGGGUGGAAUGCCGCGUGUAGCAGUGAAAUGCGUAGAGAUGCGGCGGAACACCGAUGGCGAAGGCAGCCCCCUGGGCUGAGAUUGACGCUCAGGCACGAAAGCGUGGGGGGCAAACAGG